GAGCACCUAGUCCAACUAAGACCCCUAAUUUCGACUUAGGAAAUCCCACAGACGGGGGUGCUCU
rnacentral:tRNA from 1 species